rnacentral:rRNA from 1 species
UACGUAGGGGGCAAGCGUUGUCCGGAUUUAUUGGGCGUAAAGAGCGUGUAGGCGGCCAUACAGGUCCGUUGUGAAAACUGGAGGCUUAACCUCCAGACGUCGAUGGAAACCGUAUGGCUAGAGUCCGGAAGAGGAGAGUGGAAUUCCUGGUGUAGCGGUGAAAUGCGCAGAUAUCAGGAAGAACACCUAUAGCGAAGGCAGCUUACUAGGCUGUAACUGACGCUGAGGCACGAAAGUGUGGGGAUCAAACAGG